GUUUCCAUAGUUGAAGUACAACGAUGAUUUUUCAUGUCAUAGGUCAUAGUGAGAGUCUAUGUGGAAAUU
rnacentral:tRNA from 1 species